GUGCCAGCAGCCGCGGUAAUACGUAGGUGGCAAGCGUUGUCCGGAAUUAUUGGGCGUAAAGCGCGCGCAGGCGGCCUCUUAAGUCUGAUGUGAAAGCCCCCGGCUCAACCGGGGAGGGCCAUUGGAAACUGGGAGGCUUGAGUAUAGGAGAGAAGAGUGGAAUUCCACGUGUAGCGGUGAAAUGCGUAGAGAUGUGGAGGAACACCAGUGGCGAAGGCGACUCUUUGGCCUAUAACUGACGCUGAGGCGCGAAAGCGUGGGGAGCAAACAGGAUUAGACUACCCUGGUAGUCC
rnacentral:rRNA from 1 species